AGUGAACGCUGGCGGUAGGCCUAACACAUGCAAGUCGAACGGCAGCACAGUAAGAGCUUGCUCUUACGGGUGGCGAGUGGCGGACGGGUGAGGAAUACAUCGGAAUCUACUUUUUCGUGGGGGAUAACGUAGGGAAACUUACGCUAAUACCGCAUACGACCUACGGGUGAAAGCAGGGGAUCUUCGGACCUUGCGCGAUUGAAUGAGCCGAUGUCGGAUUAGCUAGUUGGCGGGGUAAAGGCCCACCAAGGCGACGAUCCGUAGCUGGUCUGAGAGGAUGAUCGGCCACACUGGAACUGAGACACGGUCCAGACUCCUACGGGAGGCAGCAGUGGGGAAUAGUGGACAAUGGGCGCAAGCCUGAUCCAGCCAUACCGCGUGGGUGAAGGAGGCCUUCGGGUUGUAAAGCCCUUUUGUUGGGAAAGAAAAGCAGCAGGUUAAUACCCCGCUGUUCUGACGGUACCCAAAGAAUAAGCACCGGCUAACUUCGUG
rnacentral:rRNA from 1 species